GUGGGGAAUAUUGGACAAUGGGCGAAAGCCUGAUCCAGCCAUGCCGCGUGUGUGAAGAAGGUCUUCGGAUUGUAAAGCACUUUAAGUUGGGAGGAAGGGCAGUAAGUUAAUACCUUGCUGUUUUGACGUUACCGACAGAAUAAGCACCGGCUAACUUCGUGCCAGCAGCCGCGGUAAUACGAAGGGUGCAAGCGUUACUCGGAAUUACUGGGCGUAAAGCGCGCGUAGGUGGUUUUGUAAGUUGGAGGUGAAAUCCCCGGGCUCAACCUGGGAACUGCCUCCAAAACUGCAUGACUAGAGUACGGUAGAGGGUAGUGGAAUUUCCUGUGUAGCGGUGAAAUGCGUAGAUAUAGGAAGGAACACCAGUGGCGAAGGCGACUACCUGGACUGAUACUGACACUGAGGUGCGAAAGCGUGGGGAGCAAACAGGAUUAGAUACCCGUGUAGUCC
rnacentral:rRNA from 1 species